GACGAACGCUGGCGGCGUGCUUAACACAUGCAAGUCGAACGGAAAGGCCCUGCUUUUGUGGGGUGCUCGAGUGGCGAACGGGUGAGUAACACGUGAGUAACCUGCCCUUGACUUUGGGAUAACUUCAGGAAACUGGGGCUAAUACCGGAUAGGAGCUCCUGCUGCAUGGUGGGGGUUGGAAAGUUUCGGCGGUUGGGGAUGGACUCGCGGCUUAUCAGCUUGUUGGUGGGGUAGUGGCUUACCAAGGCUUUGACGGGUAGCCGGCCUGAGAGGGUGACCGGCCACAGUGGGACUGAGAUACGGCCCAGCCUCCUCCGGGAGGCAGCAGUGGGGAAUAUUGCACAAUGGGCGGAAGCCUGAUGCAGCAACGCCGCGUGCGGGAUGACGGCUUUCGGGUUGUAACCCGCUUUCGCCUGUGACGAAGCGUGAGUGACGGUAAUGGGUAAAGAAGCACCGGCUAACUACG
rnacentral:rRNA from 1 species